GUUAAAGGCGGACGGGUGAGUAACACGUGGGUAACCUGCCUGUAAGACUGGGAUAACUCCGGGAAACCGGAGCUAAUACCGGAUAGUUCCUUGAACCGCAUGGUUCAAGGAUGAAAGACGGUUUCGGCUGUCACUUACAGAUGGACCCGCGGCGCAUUAGCUAGUUGGUGGGGUAAUGGCUCACCAAGGCGACGAUGCGUAGCCGACCUGAGAGGGUGAUCGGCCACACUGGGACUGAGACACGGCCCAGACUCCUACGGGAGGCAGCAGUAGGGAAUCUUCCGCAAUGGACGAAAGUCUGACGGAGCAACGCCGCGUGAGUGAUGAAGGUUUUCGGAUCGUAAAGCUCUGUUGUUAGGGAAGAACAAGUGCGAGAGUAACUGCUCGCACCUUGACGGUACCUAACCAGAAAGCCACGGCUAACUACGUGCCAGCAGCCGCGGUAAUACGUAGGUGGCAAGCGUUGUCCGGAAUUAUUGGGCGUAAAGGGCUCGCAGGCGGUUUCUUAAGUCUGAUGUGAAAGCCCCCGGCUCAACCGGGGAGGGUCAUUGGAAACUGGGAAACUUGAGUGCAGAAGAGGAGAGUGGAAUUCCACGUGUAGCGGUGAAAUGCGUAGAGAUGUGGAGGAACACCAGUGGCGAAGGCGACUCUCUGGUCUGUAACUGACGCUGAGGAGCGAAAGCGUGGGGAGCGAACAGGAUUAGAUACCCUGGUAGUCCACGCCGUAAACGAUGAGUGCUAAGUGUUAGGGGGUUUCCGCCCCUUAGUGCUGCAGCUAACGCAUUAAGCACUCCGCCUGGGGAGUACGGUCGCAAGACUGAAACUCAAAGGAAUUGACGGGGGCCCGCACAAGCGGGUGGAGCAUGUGGUUUUAAUUCGAAGCAACGCGAAGAACCUUACCAGUUCUUGACAUCCCUCUGACACCCUAGAGAUAGUGCUUUCCCUUCGGGGACAGA
rnacentral:rRNA from 1 species